rnacentral:sRNA from 1 species
AUGUACCGCGCGUACGCUGCGGUUCUGAGCGCGCCCACCUGACGGCGGCGCGCGACGUGUUGUUGGCC